GACGAACGCUGGCGGCGUGCUUAACACAUGCAAGUCGAACGAAGAGCGAUGGAAGCUUGCUUCUAUCAAUCUUAGUGGCGAACGGGUGAGUAACGCGUAAUCAACCUGCCCUUCAGAGGGGGACAACAGUUGGAAACGACUGCUAAUACCGCAUACGAUCUAAUCUCGGCAUCGAGGAUAGAUGAAAGGUGGCCUCUACAUGUAAGCUAUCACUGAAGGAGGGGAUUGCGUCUGAUUAGCUAGUUGGAGGGGUAACGGCCCACCAAGGCGAUGAUCAGUAGCCGGUCUGAGAGGAUGAACGGCCAC
rnacentral:rRNA from 1 species